rnacentral:rRNA from 1 species
CCUACGGGUGGCAGCAGUGGGGAAUAUUGCACAAUGGGGGAAACCCUGAUGCAGCGACGCCGCGUGAGUGAUGAAGUAUUUCGGUAUGUAAAGCUCUAUCAGCAGGGAAGAAAAUGACGGUACCUGACUAAGAAGCCACGGCCAACUACGUGCCAGCAGCCGCGGUAAUACGUAGGGGGCAAGCGUUAUGCGGAUUUUAUGGGUGUAAAGGUAGCGUAGACGGCCAGACAAGUCAGAAGUGAAAGCCCAGGGCUCAACCCUGGGACCGCUUUCGAAACUGCCGAGCUGGAGUGUAGGAGAGGUAAGCGGAAGUCCUGGUGUAGCGGUGAAAUGCGUAGAUAUUAGGAGGAACACCAGUGGCGAAGGCGGCUUACUGGACUUAAACUGACGUUGAGGCUCGAAAGCGUGGGGAGCAAACAGGAUUAGAUACCCGAGUAGUC